rnacentral:rRNA from 1 species
GGAGUUAAGAAAUGUAAAGGUGUUAAUAGCGCCUUUAUUUGACGAAGGCUCCAGAGGAAGCCACGGCUAACUCUGUGCCAGCAGCCGCGGUAAUACAGAGGUGGCAAGCGUUGUUCGGAAUUAUUGGGCGUAAAGAGCACGUAGGCGGUCCUGCAAGUCUGUUGUGAAAUCCUUCCGCUUAACGGGAGAACGGCAGCUGAUACUACAGGACUAGAGUACGGGAGGGGAGAGUGGAACUUCUG